UUUCCCAUUUACUUAAUAAAAUAAACUCCUGCUGGGAAUAGGAGCACAGACCUGAAAUCUCAGCACUUGGGAGGCUGAGGCAGGAGGAU
rnacentral:miRNA from 1 species